UUCAAUUCCCACUCCCCCGUCUCUAACCUACACCUUAGCCGCCCCCAAAUGCUCUCACCCCUCACAGCCCAAACCCUAGCUGUCGCCCCGUUGGAAAUCAUUUCAUGGUGGCGGUCAGUAUCCAAACACCGCCAAACUCACACCCUACAAUCCCCUUCUCCUCCUCACCACUAAUCACCAAACAUCUCCCGUCAAAAACCCUUACAACUCCGUGAAUUUUGGAUCUAAGAAUCCUAAGAACACUGGGUCAUGCAUGUCCCUUCCUCAUCAUUCUUUUUUGAUUCGAUACUGUUGAGAUUCAUCCCAAACAGUUAGUUCUUGACAAGAACAACCAUUUGGGAUCGAUUUUAAGCUGUAUCAAAGCCAAACAUGAGGUUCGUUCCGUUCUUCCCUGUGUCUCAUUAGGUACUACCCUUUCCUUAUUUUCUUAUUUUUAUCUUCUUCUUUUUUACAUCUGUGUUCUGAUUCACGUCCAUGAAAACAAAAGAAAAGAAAAAAUGUGUUGUAAGACUACUAUCAUGUUAGGAUUUUAUUCAUCUCUCUGUUUUCUCUUGUUUUUGUUAAUUAUGUAGCAAUAUUAACUAAAUCAUAACUGUUUAGGAUAGAUUCUUUAUGUUGUUUUUCUUUUCUUGCUUUUGUUCUUCCUGUUCAUUCUUGUUUUGGUGUUUAGUUUGCAUGCUUUAGGUUAUUUACAAUAUUUUGUGUUUGAUUCGAAUGUCCCAUGCUAGUUCAUCCUUUAUUGUUUAUCUUUUAGAUUCAAUCUGAUUUAGUAAUAUUUUUGUUGUGGUUUGAGUAGUUUGUCAUUAGCUGUUUGAAUUAGAUUUCUGAUUAUUUAAAUCAGAGAUUCAUCAUGAAUUUGGUGCAUUUUAGGUUUAUUAUUUUUUAGUGUUCAGAUGUCUAAAAUUCAAUCACAUUGUCUAGCUUUGUUUGUUUUGAUUUGUCCAUUGACAUUGGCAUGCUCUUUUGUGUUUGCCCUAAUUUGUAAAUCAGUAGACACUUCUAGGGUUCAAAUAACAAAAAGAAAACUUAAGGGGUCAUGUGAGAGGUAGAUAAAUAUGAAAAUAGGAUAAGACCAUGUUAGAAGGUUCUCGAAUAUGGACAGUUGGCCCUAUUUGGCCAGCACAAAAUGCUGAAGCCAAUGAGGGACAGCCAGCUGUCCAAUUCUGUUAAAAGAUGUCUUUUGUGGCUGAAGAGAAUAAUUCCCUUAUUCUAUCAGCACAUGGCAUUUUUUGAUGCCCAUAAAUAAUACCUUUUCUUCACUCAUUAGGAUAGAUUUUCAGAACCCUAAAAAGCACUAAAAAGAUUCAGCUACUAUUUCAUUGGUUGUUGGUUCUAUUUUCCUUUGAUUUUUAGCAAAAACUUAGAAAAGUUUCCCUGAAAUUUCUGGUUUGAGUGUGGAUCAAGUUGAAGCUGUUACUGCUGUUGAUUGGCUAUUGUCUCCUAUUAAUGCCAUGGCUAUUGUAUCCAGGUAUUUUCACGAGCCUUGAAGCGAUAAAAAUGGAAUUGUAGCAUG
rnacentral:lncRNA from 1 species